AGAGUUUGAUCCUGGCUCAGAACAAACGCUGGCGGCGUGCCUAACACAUGCAAGUCGAACGAGAAAGUCCCGCUUCGGUGGGAUGAGUAAAGUGGCGCACGGGUGAGUAACGCGUGGGUAACCUGCCCUUGAAUCUGGGAUAACUUCGCGAAAGCGAAGCUAAUACCGGAUACCGGCCUUUUAUCUGUGGAUUUUAGGCUGAAAGGUGACCUCUUCAUGAAAGUUGCCGUUCAGGGAGGGGCUCGCGUACCAUUAGCUUGUUGGUGGGGUAAUGGCCUACCAAGGCGACGAUGGUUAGCUGGUCUGAGAGGAUGAUCAGCCACACUGGGACUGAGACACGGCCCAGACUCCUACGGGAGGCAGCAGUGGGGAAUAUUGGACAAUGGGCGCAAGCCUGAUCCAGCAAUGCCGCGUGUGUGAAGAAGGCCUGAGGGUUGUAAAGCACUUUCAAUUGUGAAGAAAAGUUUAAGGUUAAUAACCUUAGACCCUGACGUUAACUUUAGAAGAAGACCGCUAACU
rnacentral:rRNA from 1 species